UUAUACCCAGUUCGCGAGCCCCCAAAAGAUCUACAGGAAUCGACUCCAUUGCAAAACACAUGAGGGUCUCUUUAUUGUAAAUUACAAGCUGUAGCUUGGGCCCACAACACCCACUGCUUCAGCGGUGGUAGCUGAGCGCCCCGCGCCCAGUUUUUUCUGCAGCAUCUGAAAUUCAUCCAGGCACAAUUGCAUGGAAUCAAGCUAUGACAGUUCCUUAAUCCUGCGUGAUAUGAAGGCAGUCAAGGACUGGUAAGACCAGAUCCUCAUUAUGACCAACCUAAGACAGAGGCAAGAGCACGCACUCCUGUUACUCCAAGAUGGAGGAGAGCGGACAUAUUAUUUCAGAGGCAUGCAAAAAUGUUUCAGACACUACAGGAGUUCCAACUACAGAUCAAGCAAUAUUGAUGAUUGCUUUCCCUAUAAGAG